UACGAAGGGGGCUAGCGUUGCUCGGAAUCACUGGGCGUAAAGCGCACGUAGGCGGCUUGUUAAGUCAGGGGUGAAAUCCUGGAGCUCAACUCCAGAACUGCCUUUGAUACUGGCGAGCUUGAGUCCGGGAGAGGUGAGUGGAACUGCGAGUGUAGAGGUGAAAUUCGUAGAUAUUCGCAAGAACACCAGUGGCGAAGGCGGCUCACUGGCCCGGUACUGACGCUGAGGUGCGAAAGCCAGGGGAGCAAACGGG
rnacentral:rRNA from 1 species